UCUCACCUCGCCCCUUGCUCUAUCGGCCCCGGCUGAUCCAUCUCAAAACCCUAGCCAUGACUCUAUCCCGGAUGUCCUCUCUGUCCCCUCCCGGGAUCUUGCUUCCAGGCAGGCGCGUGGAAGUCACGUUCUUUCUCAUUCCCUCGAUCUCUCUCAGAGCUACUUGAUCUUCACUCUUUGAGGAGUUGACUAAAAUGGCUGCAGGAAGAGCCAUCCACCAGCUUUUGAGGAAGAGACCUCAAUUUCAAUCAUCUGCCCUGUUUUUGCUUCCAUCUUAUGUGUGUAAGCAAGAUCAAGAAAGCGUUGGAUCUGCUGGUGUGAAAUCACUAAGAGCAUUGGCAUUCCUUGGAGCAGGUGUUUCUGGUAUAUUGAGCAUGGCUACUUUGGCAUCUGCUGAUGAAGCUGAGCAUGGCCUACCAUGUCCAAUCUAUCCUUGGCCUCAUAAAGGCAUUCUUAGUUCCUAUGACCAUGCAUCAAUUCGGCGCGGUCACCAAGUUUACCAACAAGUUUGUGCUUCUUGCCAUUCAAUGUCUCUGAUUUCAUAUCGAGAUCUUGUUGGUGUAGCAUACACUGAAGAGGAGACAAAGGCUAUGGCAGCUGAGGUUGAGGUGGUUGAUGGGCCAAAUGAUGAAGGUGAAAUGUUCACACGUCCUGGUAAAUUAAGUGAUCGUUUCCCUCAGCCAUAUCCAAAUGAACAAGCAGCAAGAUUUGCCAACGGCGGAGCAUAUCCUCCAGACUUAAGCCUUAUCACUAAGGCACGACACAAUGGCCAAAACUAUGUUUUUGCCCUACUCACAGGAUAUCGUGAUCCUCCUGCAGGUGUUUUGAUUCGAGAAGGUCUGCACUACAAUCCUUACUUUCCUGGUGGUGCAAUUGCAAUGCCCAAAAUGCUCAUCGAUGGUGCAAUCGAGUAUGAAGAUGGCACUCCAGCAACUGAAUCACAAAUGGGGAAGGAUGUUGUGACAUUCUUAUCAUGGGCAGCAGAACCUGAAAUGGAAGAGAGGAAACUGAUGGGUUUCAAAUGGAUCUUUCUGCUGUCGCUUGCCCUUCUCCAAGCUGCGUACUAUCGGCGCCUGAGGUGGUCAGUUCUAAAGUCAAGGAAACUGAUUGUUGAUGUUGUCAACUGAUCAACUUCUUGGUUUAUUUAACAAUAUAUCAAUGUGGAAGAAGAGCAAUAAUGUUUUGAAGCAUUGCGGGGUCAAUAUGUGGAAUGAAGGGAAUUGAGUAUUAAGACAAGUUGACGGCUUCGAUCGUAAGCUAUUGUAAGCUAUAGUUCUGAAUUAACUAUCUUGAAAGUAAAGCAAUCCUCAUUGUUGGCUCUUGAUAGCAAUAAGCAGUCAGAAAGAAAAGGUCAUGCCUGCUGUCAUUGUAACACAGCGGAGGCCAUGGCGCAGAAAGGAUGGUGUCUAUAUGUACUUUGAAGGUAUCUCUUUUAUUAUAAAACUCCGCUUGUAUUUUUCUUCUAGUUACCAAAAAAAUUAUCAUAGCAAUGCUUUGUCAUCUUUUAACGCAUCCGCUGAUCAGUAGCACCCAUUGGAUCUGAUGGUUAGAUCUGAUAGUUGAUACUUCAGUUUUGGUGGCGAGCCAAGACCGAGCACUAAUACUUCUUUGAUUAUGUCGGUUAUGAUAUCUGUACCAAUCACCAGCUGUUAGCUGGUGCACAAUGCUACUGCACAACUGAUAAUGCUGGAGUUAUUGUCCAUCCAAAGGGAGAAAUUGAAAGGUUCUGCCGUCACAGGACCUAUUGGGAAUGAAUGUGCUGAUUUGUGGCCUAGGAUUGCCAGUGCAGCCAAUGCCAUUGUGUAAUGGUGAGGCUGGUAGCUACAUCAAUUAUGUAGAUUCUUGGCUUGAUUGCUAUGAAAAAAAUUUAGGUUGAGGGAAUUUGUUUAGCUCCCCUUGUUUUGACUCAGGUUUGAUGGGGUGCCUUUCUUCAGUGAUUUAUUUGUUGAUCCCAAUUUUUCAAAAGUGAUGUUUUUGAUCUUUGUGAAUUCUCUGAAGACUGUUGGGUUCAAGAUUGUCUUUGUUCAAUUUCUGUUGUGGA